CCUGGGAUAGCUCAGUUGGUAAAGCAGGAGACUCUUAAUCUCAGGGCUGUGGGUUCGUUGGGCAAAAGAGUCUUGCACUGCAGGG